rnacentral:rRNA from 1 species
GUCCAGACUCCUACGGGAGGCAGCAGUGGGGAAUAUUGCACAAUGGGGGAAACCCUGAUGCAGCGACGCCGCGUGAGCGAAGAAGUAUUUCGGUAUGUAAAGCUCUAUCAGCAGGGAAGAAAAUGACGGUACCUGAGUAAGAAGCUCCGGCUAAAUACGUGCCAGCAGCCGCGGUAAUACGUAGGGGGCAAGCGUUAUCCGGAUUCACUGGGUGUAAAGGGAGCGUAGACGGCCAUGCAAGCCUGGAGUGAAAGCCCGGGGCCCAACCCCGGGACUGCUCUGGGAACUGUGCGGCUGGAGUGCGGGAGGGGCAGGCGGAAUUCCUGGUGUAGCGGUGAAAUGCGUAGAUAUCAGGAGGAACACCGGCGGCGAAGGCGGCCUGCUGGACUGCAACUGACGUUGAGGCCCGAAAGCGUGGGGAGCAAACAGGAUUAGAUACCCCCGUACAG